GAUGAACGCUGGCGGCGUGCCUAAUACAUGCAAGUCGAACGCGAGAGGAGGGAGCUUGCUCCCUCUGAUCGAGUGGCGGACGGGUGAGUAACACGUAGGCAACCUGCCCAUCAGCCGGGGAUAACUGCGGGAAACCGUGGCUAAUACCGGAUAAUCCUCUCCACCGCGGGGUGGGGAGUUGAAAGACGGUUUCGGCUGUCGCGGAUGGAUGGGCCUGCGGCGCAUUAGCUGGUUGGCGGGGUAAAGGCCCACCAAGGCAACGAUGCGUAGCCGACCUAAGAGGGUGAUCGGCCACACUGGGACUGAGACACGGCCCAGACUCCUACGGGAGGCAGCAGUAGGGAAUCUUCCGCAAUGGACGCAAGUCUGACGGAGCAACGCCGCGUGAGUGAAGAAGGGUUUCGGCUCGUAAAACUCUGUUGUUAAGGAAGAACGCCAGGUAGAGUAACUGCUACCUGUGUGACGGUACUUAACCAGAAAGCCACGGCUAACUACGUGCCAGCCGCCGCGGUAA
rnacentral:rRNA from 1 species